UCCGUAGGUGGAUAAUUAAGUCAGGGGUGAAAGUCUGCAGCUCAACUGUAGAAUUGCCCUUGAUACUGGUUGUCUCGAGUCAUUAUGAAGUAGUUAGAAUAUGUAGUGUAGCGGUGAAAUGCAUAGAUAUUACAUAGAAUACCAAUUGCGAAGGCAGAUUACUAAUAAUGUACUGACACUGAUGGACGAAAGCGUGGGGAGCGAACAGGAUUAGAUACCCUGGUAGUCC
rnacentral:rRNA from 1 species